GUUAGGAAUAUUGGACAAUGGGCGCAAGCCUGAUCCAGCCAUGCCGCGUGAGUGAUGAAGGCCUUCGGGUUGUAAAGCUCUUUAGCCGAUGAUUAUAAUGACUGUAGUCGGAAAAUAAGCCCCGGCUAACUUCGUGCCAGCAUCCGCGGUAAUACGAAGGGGGCGAGCGUUAUUCGGAAUCACUGGGCGUAAAGCGUGCGUAGGCGGCUUUGCAAGUUGGGAGUGAAAGCCCAGGGCUCAACCCUGGAAUUGCUCUCAAAACUGCAAGGCUCGAAUUCGGGAGAGGAUAGCGGAAUUUCCAGUGUAGCAGUGAAAUGCGUAGAUAUUGGAAGGAACACCAGUGGCGUAAGCGGCUAUCUGGACGAGUAUUGACGCUGAGGCACGAAAGCGUGGGGAUCAAACAGGAUUAGAUACCCGAGUAGUCC
rnacentral:rRNA from 1 species